UUACAAAGCUACGAGAAUACUUUUCUUUUGCGCAGAGAAAACAAAAAUAACUUUAUUCAACAAUUCUUCUCCUCCGCAUCACCCUGCCUCUGUUUUGAAGAGUAUCACAAUGUAUGCUCGUGAUUUUCCUGCAUGUAACUAUCCCUUCAAGUCAGGAGACACACAAAUGAUACAAAUCUGUGUUUAUUGUGAAGAUGAGUGUAAGCAGCUAUGUCUACGACUUAAAUUAGCUGAGGGAUGCUGGACGGUGCUUGUUAAUGGACACACACCACUGGUUUAUUAUUAACUGAAGGUUAAAAUGCUCACAAUUGUAGAUUUAUGUUUCCAAACAAACAGUCAAUAAAUCCACAUUUCCAGUCCUUCACCUGUACAAAUUUCCUACUUGCAUAUAUAACCCAGUGUAACUGUGCACCUUCCCUCCUGUUAUCUGAGGGAAGUUUCCCACCUGUACUGUAUUAUGUAACUAAUUACCCAAGAAUGACCCCUACUGGACACCUGCAUGUAAAAGUUUAAAGUAAAGAUAAAAUGGUUCUGACAAUGAGCAUUACUGAGAUGAACUGAGAUCAGAUCAAUAAUUAGUUUGAUGUGUUUCUUAAGUUGAACUUUAAUUCUGUGAAUGUUUGUGUAAUUUAUGUCUGAUUUAAAUUCAUGAUGUCCUAAAAUUUUGGAACAUUUUUGUGUGUUUUGUUCUUCAGGUCUGGAGUUAAACUGCAGUUUUGAUCAGUCUGAUCCCUGUUACACAGCUCUGGGACACAAACUCAAUCUGCUGAUGGUGCAGGAUGCUAGUAAAUAUGACCUGAAGAUAGAAAAGAGAAUAAACAGCACACAAAAUGAUCCAGUUUGUAAAGUAAAGAAUGGCAAGAUGAGGAUGAGUGAAUGUGAUCUUUAUAAUAACAGACCUGAAGUGACAGUCAUUAAUGGGACUGUGAUAAUAAACUGUGUGAUCAGAGCAGAUUCAGGGAAUUACAGAUUAACACUCUCUGACUCAGGCGGCUCAGAAACAUCUAGAGAUCUUCAAGUGAUUGUUGAAGCUCCUAUUGGCUCAGUGAACGUGUCAUUAUCAUGCGCAUCUAGUCAGUAA
ensembl:lncRNA